UAGUGCCGUUGUUUGGGCCCUAGCUGCGAAACCCAGGCUCCUGGCAUUUUAAGCACUGGUGCCAUGGCCCCUCUCCUGAGCACUGGGGGCUUCUCUUGCUGCCGAAGACAGUUCCGCUUGCUAGGCUGGCCUCUCUUGCCUCCCCUUUGUAGGGGAACACCAAUUACUGUGAGCAUCACCCUGGGGUGUUAAGACAUCCCUAGUCAACCCUCUUGCUGCUGCCGACCAAACCAGUAUUAGCAUUGAGCACUACACUCUGUCUCUCCUUCCCCUGAAGUAUCUUAAAGACAAUCAUGGGGUUCUGCUUCAGGGAAACAGCACCAGACUUGGCCUCUGUCUGUGAUAGGGCAGCCUGGAGCUUAAUAGAAAGACAGCUGAUUUCCCGCAACCCUCUCUUCUAGGAAAAGUCCCAAGAUGAAUCUCCAACCAGCAAAUGGAGACAGAGUCUGAUCUUUCCUUUCCCCAGCAGCCCUUUCCCACCCUUGAAAAACUGAGCACUUAACUCCUCCCCUUUUGGGGGGACCCCACCUGAGGUAUCAGGGCUGGGGCAUCUUUGGUACGGAGAAUAUUUAUUGCCCCCGAGCAUGUGUGUGUCUGUGUGUGAGGACUUGUGUGCACUGGCCUGUGUGGAGUGGGCAUGUGGAACUCUUUCAGGGACCAUAGAGUGGGAUAGGGCUUUCCAUUCCCUGGCACCCCAGAGUCCCCAGUGAUCAAGUGGGAGAGUUAGGGCCCCUUCCUGUCUCCCACUUCUUCACCACAAUUCCAUCUUUGUGGACAAUAAAUAAACCAGUAUACACGGGU
rnacentral:lncRNA from 1 species